AAUGGAAUUCCUGGAUCAUAUGGUGAUUCUAUUUUUAGUUAUUUGAGGAACCACCACACUGUUUUCCACAACUACUGUACCAUUUUGCAUUUCCACCAGUAAU
rnacentral:pre_miRNA from 1 species